GGGCGAGUGGCGAAAUUGGUAUACGCACCGCACUCAGAAUGCGGCGGGUAACACCGUGUGGGUUCGAAUCCCUCCUCGCCCACCA
rnacentral:tRNA from 1 species